AUUGAACGCUGGCGGCAGGCCUAACACAUGCAAGUCGAGCGAGCGGCGGACGGGUGAGUAAUGUAUAGGGACUGCCCGUUAGAGGGGGAUAACUACUGGAAACGGUGUCUAAUACCGCAUACUCUCGGAUAACCCAUAUCGGAUUAGCUAGUAGGCGGGGUAAAGGCUCACCUGGGCGACGAUCGCUCGCUGGUCGGAGAGGCUGACCAGCAAAACUGGGACUGGAACAGGGCCCAGACUCCUCCGGAGGAAGAAGGGGGAAAUAUUGGCAAAGGGGGGAAAGCCUGAUGAAGAAAGGCCGGGUGUAGGAGGAAGGCUUUAGGUUUGAAAAGUACUUUAAGCGGGGAGGCGGUACCCGAAUAGAAAGCAACGGCUAACUCCGUGCCAGCAGCCGCGGUAAUUC
rnacentral:rRNA from 1 species